rnacentral:lncRNA from 1 species
CCUGAAAUCCCUCUGUCCUCAUAUCUAGUGUUACUGAAAGGAGGAAGCGUGAUGACCGUGUCAGCCAGCAGGACUACUGUCUCUUUCUGCUGUUUGAGUCUGUGGGAAGCAAACAUGGCUUCACUCGCCAUAAUGCUGACAGCAGCGUGGAGCUGGCAGUGACAGGCUCCGGACUUCCUGUUUAUUUGGUGCCCAGCCCCUCGCAAAGAUUUAACUUCCACAGCUGCGUGAUGGGCCAACGUGUGGAACUUCUGUGUGUGCUUCAGAACUUCUGUCCUCUGCUUCCUGUCCGAUUCUGCUUUCGCAAAUUAGCACACUUCCACACCAAGCCGUCCUCGGGCACCAUUGCUCCUGGGCAGUGCCAGGAUGUAGUUUUGUCCUUCAAAGCACAGCAGCAGGGGAGCUUCCACAUGUGUCAGAUAGUGGACGUGUUGGGUCAUGUUGUCUGUCAGAGGAAUGAAGAAGACACCACAGAGGAUGUUACUGAGCUGGAGCUUUGCAGCUUCCACACCAUCACUCUACACCUGUCUGCUGUCUGCCACAGUGAAACAACACACACACGGUCUAAGCUAAAUCCUGGUGAGUAUGAAACCUGUUAAAUUAUGCAUAGUUAACAGAAGUGUGAGCAAUAAUACAGAUAAAAAAAAUCAUC